rnacentral:rRNA from 1 species
GAGGAAAAGAAACCAACAGGGAUUGCCCUAGUAACGGCGAGUGAACAGGCAAGAGCUCAGAUUUGAAAGGCACUUUUGUGCCGUUGUAUUCUGAAGUUAGGGUCCUGAGAAACGAUGCUUAAGUCUUCUGGAAAGGAGCGCCAUGGAGGGUGAUAGCCCCGUCUAGCAUUGACCUCAUAUAGGAUCUUAACAUGGAGUCGAGUUGUUUGGGAAUGCAGCUCAAAUGGGUGGUAUGCUCCAUCUAAAGCUAAAUAUCUGCGAGAGACCGAUAGUAAACAAGUACUGUGAGGGAAAGAUGAAAAGAACUUUGAAAAGAGAGUGAAAAAGUACGUGAAAUUGUUGAAAUGGAAGGGUAGGCCGCUAACCAUGUAGAGCCGUGUUUGGGGGGAAGAUAAAUGCUGUAGAAUGUAGCUCCUCGGAGUAUUAUAGAUGCAGUUCAUAUUCCCACCCGAGCGCGAGGAUCUCAGGUUCUACUAAAUGGUGGUCUACCACCCGUCU